CUGCUGUCUUUGUGGCUCUAAAUUCUCUUUCACUGCUCCCCCACCCCCAUCUUCCUCUCCCCCCACCCCACCCCCUUUCCUUUCACUUUCUCUGUCUCUUUGUCUAGAGGGUCAGAGUCUCCCAGAAACCCAGCUCUGUUUCCUGCUUUCUUUCUCCAGACCCCCAGCUCAUCUGGCCCUCAUUGAGGUCAAAUUGCCAUACAGUGAAAACACAGAUCUGGACUACGUAACAACGGAUUCAACAAAUAGCACACCCUCAUCAAAGAGAACAGUUGGAUCACCCCAGAGUUUACCCUGCCUCCCAGUUAGUCGUCAAGACUUCCCCACAGCCUGGUGAAGUUUUUGAACAGCUGGUCAACAGCAGAGUAACUCAGUGGGAAAGUGGUCAAUGUACGCUUCGAUCUGUUAUUGUGCCCGGCAGCCAGCUUGCAAACGGUGGAGUCCAUCAUUGGUUUAUGAUGAGUGCUUCCGUGGUAACUGGCGGAUGGAGGGGUGAUAGUGCAUCGGGAGCAGAGAUCCGGAGGGAGAAGUGAUCACAGGAACACACGUGCCCAGACCCCUAACCCAGAUACUGAAGAGGCUGCUAGACUCCGCACUGUGUGGAGUCAAAGUGUCCCCACAGUUGCCUCUAAACAGAGGUUACAGGCACUCUUAUCUCUUAACCACGUCAGUAAACAUCUGCUAAUCCACAAAUCAAGCCCUGGAUUUGUAGGGCUUAAUGUUUUUCUAGUCACUGCACCCUUCCUGAUCUCCACUGCCGCAAGAUAGGACAGGGGAAUAGGCACUCACCCUUUGCCUACACCAGAAAGCAACCCGCAGCCAAUGCCUGAUGGACCGCAGUGCAAGAGGGUGACUGGCCCCUUGUGCCUGGUGGACAGGCUGGCUCUGUGCUGUGUAGACAUUUGCCUGUUGGGUGCAUUGCAGUCAAUCUUGGAGACAGCUAGCUCAAUACAGCACUUUUCACAGUCUCUCAUCCCCUCCCUGUCUCAGCCUGCCAACACACACAGACACCUCCUCGUGUGUCUGCUAAUACAUUGGCACCAGUGUCCCUAUCUCAGGAUCUGUUUCUGGUGAAACCCAGUCCACGGAACUCCAAGCCUCGCAGCUGCAGAAGUGGGGACUGUCGGCUGACACCCGGGGUCUCUUCUCGGUGUUAAUGACCUGCAUGUUGUUGCUCCCACAAUCACUGUCGUUUUUUGUCUGCAUCUUUCUUCUUGCAAAUGACCUUAAGCAUCCGUU